AACGAACGCUGGCGGCAUGCCUAACACAUGCAAGUCGAACGAGAUCUUCGGGUCUAGUGGCGCACGGGUGCGUAACGCGUGGGAAUCUGCUCUUUGGUUCGGAAUAACAGUUGGAAACGACUGCUAAUACCGGAUGAUGACGAAAGUCCAAAGAUUUAUCGCCAGAGGAUGAGCCCGCGUAGGAUUAGCUAGUUGGUGUGGUAAAGGCGCACCAAGGCGACGAUCCUUAGCUGGUCUGAGAGGAUGAUCAGCCACACUGGGACUGAGACACGGCCCAGACUCCUACGGGAGGCAGCAGUGGGGAAUAUUGGACAAUGGGCGAAAGCCUGAUCCAGCAAUGCCGCGUGAGUGAUGAAGGCCUUAGGGUUGUAAAGCUCUUUUACCCGGGAUGAUAAUGACAGUACCGGGAGAAUAAGCGCCGGCUAACUCCGUGCCAGCCGCCGCGGUAA
rnacentral:rRNA from 1 species